AUUGAACGCUGGCGGAAUGCUUUACACAUGCAAGUCGAACGGCAGCACGGGGCAACCUGGUGGCGAGUGGCGAACGGGUGAGUAAUACAUCGGAACGUGCCCAAUCGUGGGGGAUAACGUAGCGAAAGUUACGCUAAUACCGCAUACGAUCUACGGAUGAAAGCGGGGGAUCGCAAGACCUCGCGCGAGUGGAGCGGCCGAUGUCAGAUUAGGUAGUUGGUGGGGUAAAGGCUCACCAAGCCAACGAUCUGUAGCUGGUCUGAGAGGACGACCAGCCACACUGGAACUGAGACACGGUCCAGACUCCUACGGGAGGCAGCAGUGGGGAAUUUUGGACAAUGGGCGCAAGCCUGAUCCAGCCAUUCCGCGUGCAGGAUGAAGGCCUUCGGAUUGUAAACUGCUUUUGUACGGAACGAAACGGCGAGCUCUAAUACAGUUUGCUAAUGACGGUACCGUAAGAAUAAGCACCGGCUAACUACGUG
rnacentral:rRNA from 1 species